CCUACGGGAGGCUGCAGUGGGGAAUAUUGCACAAUGGGGGAAACCCUGAUGCAGCGACGCCGCGUGAGCGAUGAAGUAUUUCGGUAUGUAAAGCUCUAUCAGCAGGGAAGAAAAUGACGGUACCUGACUACGAAGCCCCGGCUAACUACGUGCCAGCAGCCGCGGUAAUACGUAGGGGGCAAGCGUUAUCCGGAUUUACUGGGUGUAAAGUGUGCGUAGACGGCUGGGCAAGCCAGAGGUGAAAGCCCGGGGCUCAACCCCGGGACUGCAUUUGGAACUGUGUGGCUGGAGUGUCGGAGAGGCAGGCGGAAUUCCUAGUGUAGCAGUGAAAUGCGUAGAUAUUAGGAGGAACACCAGUGGCGAAGGCGGCCUGCUGGACGUUGACUGACGUUGAGGCACGAAGGCGUGGGGAGCAAACGGGAUUAGAUACCCUAGUAGUC
rnacentral:rRNA from 1 species